GCAAGGAAUCAAGUGAAACACUAAGCCUUUGCAUACAGGAGCUUCAGCGAAGCAAUCCUAGCUUUUAUCCAAGGUCCGUAAUGAUUGACCGUGACCUAAAGGUGCUCAAUGCCGUCAAACAUGUUUUUCCAGAUGCAAAGGUUCUCCUUUGUUGGUUCCAUGUGCUUCAGGCUGUUAAUAGAUGGCUUGUGAAGACUGAUGGAGGGCACUUGACAGCUGACCAGAGAAAUGUGGUCAUACAUGCCAUAGUGACCAUGAAAGCAUGCCUAAGGAUUCUUCCUUACACUGAAGUAUCAGUUUCUACGGGGCCAGGCCAACAAGAGAGUUGACCAACUUCUACAUUUGCUGUGUGGAGAUAUGCAGAAGUAUUAUAGUUACAUGGAUGACCUCACAGUUGCUGGAAGGCUGAAAGUGGACACCUCCGCUGCUGCUAAGGAAGCUGCAGUCAUGCUUGAAAAGGGUCUUGGCUCAAACUUAAACAUGGAAAGUGGAAAAUGUUCUGUAAAAUCUGAAUCUGGUCCCAACUUCUACACUGUCAAUUUAGUUAACUUUAUGUGUGAUUGCGAAAGUUUCAGAAUAGGUAACCUGUGUAAGCACAUCAUUUUAGUGAAGACAGAGGCACAGAGGAGAGGGAUGGAUAUUGAGAAAAUGCGAAAUACAGAAGCAGAAAAAGUAAUCAACAGUCAACUGUACCACAAAAAUGAUGAAAACGUAACCGUCUUCCAUAGUGAUGGAAGCAUUAGUGUUGUCAGUCUGAAAAAUCCAACUUUGUGCACGUGUACAGCAAAUAGUCACAGAGAAAAAUGUGUCUGUCUACAUGUUGUAAAUAUCCUCCAACCUCAAGAGCUACCCACACACUCAGAAAACACAGUACAGUCACAAAAGCCUGAAGCUGAACAGAAACCGUCUAUACAUGCCAUGUUGACAGACCUACUAGAGUGGUGCAGUUCAAAUAGUUUCAAGCCAAGCCAUGACCUGUAUAACACUGUACAAAGAGCACACAAGCUGGCUUUCAGCAACUUCACCAGUGUGUCCAAAAAAAAGAAAAUUGUGGCUUUACAUGCAUAUAGGCAACAAAUGAAAAGAACAAAGCAUGAGAACUUCCAACUAAAAAGAAGAACAAGGAUACACAACAGACUCCACUCAAAAAACUGAUUUUAUUGAACAUGUUGAACACUUGAUGUACAGUUAUUGGGCCGGUUGGAGACUGGCUUGUUUGUCUCUAUGGUAGGAGAAGAAUAAGAGAAUAUGCAAUACAUCAAUGCAGUAUAUGAAUGAAAAUAAAGAAUUAUAAAUGUGUACAAUCAAU